rnacentral:piRNA from 1 species
UGGUGUUUUAGAGACAGUGUUGGUUUCACU